ACGGCUCAGUAACACGUAGUCAACUACUUUAUGGACGGGAAUAACCUCGGGGAACUGAGAAUAAUGCCCGAUAGAACAUUAUGCCUGGAAUGGUUUAUGUUUCAAAUAAUUUAUUGCCGUAGGAUGGGACUGCGGCCUAUCAGUUUGUUGGUGAGGUAAUGGCCCACCAAGACUAUUACAGGUACGGGCUCUGAGAGGAGUAGCCCGGAGAUGGGUACUGAGACACGGACCCAGGCCCUAUGGGGCGCAGCAGGCGAGAAAACUUUGCAAUGUGCGAAAGCACGACAAGGUUAAUCCGAGUGGUUUCUGCUAAAGGAACCUUUUGUCAGUCCUAGAAACACUGAUGAAUAAGGGGUGGGCAAGUUCUGGUGUCAGCCGCCGCGGUAAAACCAGCACCUCAAGUGGUCAGGAUGAUUAUUGGGCCUAAAGCAUCCGUAGCCUGCUUUGUUAGUUUUCGGUUAAAUCCAUACGCUUAACGUAUGGGCUGCCGGAAAUACUGCAAAGCUAGGGAGUGGGAGAGGUAGACGGUACUCGGUAGGAAGGGGUAAAAUCCUUUGAUCUAUUGAUGACCACCUGUGGCGAAGGCGGUCUACCAGAACACGUCCGACGGUGAGGGAUGAAAGCUGGGGGAGCAAACCGGAUUAGAUACCCGGGUAGUCCCAGCUGUAAACCAUGCAAACUCAGUGAUGCAUUGGCUUGAUGCCAAUGCAGUGCUGCAGGGAAGCCGUUAAGUUUGCCGCCUGGGAAGUACGUACGCAAGUAUGAAACUUAAAGGAAUUGGCGGGGGAGCACCACAAGGGGUGAAGCCUGCGGUUCAAUUGGAUUCAACGCCGGG
rnacentral:rRNA from 1 species